UUUAUUGGAGAGUUUGAUCCUGGCUCAGGAUGAACGCUGGCGGCGUGCCUAAUACAUGCAAGUCGAGCGAAUGGAUUAAGAGCUUGCUCUUAUGAAGUUAGCGGCGGACGGGUGAGUAACACGUGGGUAACCUGCCCAUAAGACUGGGAUAACUCCGGGAAACCGGGGCUAAUACCGGAUAACAUUUUGAACCGCAUGGUUCGAAAUUGAAAGGCGGCUUCGGCUGUCACUUAUGGAUGGACCCGCGUCGCAUUAGCUAGUUGGUGAGGUAACGGCUCACCAAGGCAACGAUGCGUAGCCGACCUGAGAGGGUGAUCGGCCACACUGGGACUGAGACACGGCCCAGACUCCUACGGGAGGCAGCAGUAGGGAAUCUUCCGCAAUGGACGAAAGUCUGACGGAGCAACGCCGCGUGAGUGAUGAAGGCUUUCGGGUCGUAAAACUCUGUUGUUAGGGAAGAAUAAGUGCUAGUUGAAUAAGCUGGCACCUUGACGGUACCUAACCAGAAAGCCACGGCUAACUACGUGCCAGCAGCCGCGGUAAUACGUAGGUGGCAAGCGUUAUCCGGAAUUAUUGGGCGUAAAGCGCGCGCAGGUGGUUUCUUAAGUCUGAUGUGAAAGCCCACGGCUCAACCGUGGAGGGUCAUUGGAAACUGGGAGA
rnacentral:rRNA from 1 species